rnacentral:rRNA from 1 species
AGUGAACGCUGGCGGUAGGCCUAACACAUGCAAGUCGAACGGCAGCACAGUAAGAGCUUGCUCUUACGGGUGGCGAGUGGCGGACGGGUGAGGAAUACAUCGGAAUCUACUUUUUCGUGGGGGAUAACGUAGGGAAACUUACGCUAAUACCGCAUACGACCUACGGGUGAAAGCAGGGGAUCUUCGGACCUUGCGCGAUUGAAUGAGCCGAUGUCGGAUUAGCUAGUUGGCGGGGUAAAGGCCCACCAAGGCGACGAUCCGUAGCUGGUCUGAGAGGAUGAUCAGCCACACUGGGACUGAGACACGGUCCAGACUCCUACGGGAGGCAGCAGUGGGGAAUAUUGGACAAUGGGCGAAAGCCUGAUCCAGCCAUACCGCGUGGGUGAAGAAGGCCUUCGGGUUGUAAAGCCCUUUUGUUAGGGAAGAAAAGCAGCAGGUUAAUACCUCGAUGUUUUGACGGUACCCAAAGAAUAAGCACCGGCUAACUUCGUG